GACGAACGCUGGCGGCAUGCCUAAUACAUGCAAGUCGGGCGGACUUGAUGAGAAGCUUGCUUCUCAGAUAGUUAGCGGCGGACGGGUGAGUAACACGUAGGCAACCUGCCCUCAAGCUUGGGACAACUACCGGAAACGGUAGCUAAUACCGAAUACUUGUUUUCUUCGCCUGAAGGAAACUGGAAAGACGGAGUAAUCUGUCACUUGGGGAUGGGCCUGCGGCGCAUUGGCUAGUUGGUGAGGUAACGGCUCACCAAGGCGACGAUGCGUAGCCGACCUGGGAGGGUGAUCGGCCACACUGGGACUGAGACACGGCCCAGACUCCUACGGGAGGCAGCAGUAGGGAAUCUUCCGCAAUGGGCGAAAGCCUGACGGAGCAAUGCCGCGUGAGUGAUGAAGGUUUUCGGAUCGUAAAGCUCUGUUGCCAGGGAAGAACGCUUGGGAGAGUAACUGCUCCCAAGGUGACGGUACCUGAGAAGAAAGCCCCGGCUAACUACGUGCCAGCCGCCGCAGUAA
rnacentral:rRNA from 1 species